rnacentral:rRNA from 1 species
UACGGAGGGUGCAAGCGUUAAUCGGAAUUACUGGGCGUAAAGCGUGCGCAGGCGGUUUGUUAAGUCCGUUGUGAAAGCCCCGAGCUCAACUUGGGAACUGCAGUGGAUACUGGCAGGCUGGAGUACGGUAGAGGAAGGUGGAAUUCCCAGUGUAGAGGUGAAAUUCGUAGAUAUUGGGAAGAACACCGGUGGCGAAGGCGGCUCUCUGGACCGAUACUGACGCUGAGGCGCGAAAGCGUGGGGAGCAAACAGG